rnacentral:rRNA from 1 species
UACGUAGGUGGCAAGCGUUGUCCGGAAUUAUUGGGCGUAAAGCGCGCGCAGGUGGUUCCUUAAGUCUGAUGUGAAAGCCCCCGGCUCAACCGGGGAGGGUCAUUGGAAACUGGGGAACUUGAGUGCAGAAGAGGAUAGUGGAAUUCCAAGUGUAGCGGUGAAAUGCGUAGAGAUUUGGAGGAACACCAGUAGCGAAGGCGGCCAUCUGGCUGGUAACUGACGCUGAGGUGCGAGAGCGUGGGGAGCAAACAGG